AAUGAUGGUUGGUGUUUUAGCUCUUUUGUAAUUAAAUCUGGGUAUAGCUCAAAAGACUCUUUAAAGAAUGUGGUGAUAGGAUGCUUUCCUC
rnacentral:sRNA from 1 species